AUUGACUAUGUCAAAUAAAGUUCUAGAUAGAUAACUGAUAAUGACAAAUUUCUAUCUAUAUGUCUUGACCAAGUCUUGUGCCAGCAGUCGCGGCAAUACAAGGAAGACUAGUGUUAUUCAUCUUUAUUAGGUUUAAAGGGUACCUAGACGGUUUUAUAUCGCUCCAAAAGAGUACAUAAAAACUAGAGUUUGAUAUGAGAGGCAAAUAUUAGGGCCAUUGGUGUAGAGAUGGAAUGUUUUGAUACUAAUGGAACGGAUAAAGGCGAAGGCAAUCCUCUAUGUAUAAACUGACGUUGAGGGACGAAGGCUUGGGGAGCAAAUAGGAUUAGAUACCCUAGUAGUCCAGGCAGAAAAUUAUGAAUGUUAUAGACUGAGUAAAUAAUUGGUGUAUAAAUGAAAGUGUAAGCAUUCCACCUCAAGAGUAAUGUGGCAACACAGGAACUGAAAUCAUUAGACCGUUUCUGAAACCAGUAGUGAAGUAUGUUAUUUAAUUCGAUGACCCUCGAAAAACCUUACCACAAUUUGAAUAGUAUUUGUUGUAAACCCUCCAAAAGAGGUAUCAAGUAUUACAAGCGUUGCACGGCUGUCUUCAGUUAAUGUCGUGAGAUUUUGGUUAGAUCCAUUAAAUUAACGUAAACCCUUGCUACACA
rnacentral:rRNA from 1 species